CGCGGUCAGCUUGUUGGGUAACGGCUCACCAAGGCGACGACGGGUAGCCGGCCUGAGAGGGCGACCGGCCACACUGGGACUGAGCGGCCCAGACUCCUACGGGAGCAGCAGUGGGGAAUAUUGCACAAUGGGCGAAAGCCUGAUGCAGCGACGGUGAGGGAUGACGGCCUUCGGGUUGUAAACCUUUUCAGCAGGGAAGAAGCGAAAGUGACGGUACCUGAAGCGCCGGCUAACUACGGCCAGCAGCCGCGGUAAUACGUAGGGCAAGCGUUGUCCGGAAUUAUUGGGCGUAAAGAGCUCGUAGGCGGCCACGUCGGUUGUGAAAGCGGGCUUAACCCCGGGUCUGCAGUCGAUACGGGCAGGCUAGAGUUCGGGGAGAUCGGAAUUCCUGGUGUAGCGGUGAAAUGCGCACAGGAGGAACACCGGUGGCGAAGGAUCUCUGGGCCGAUACUCGCUGAGGAGUGAAAGCGUGGGCGAACAGGAUUAGAUACCCUGGUCACGCCGUAAACGGUGGGCACUAGGUGUGGGCAACAUUCCACGUUGUCCGUGCCGCAGCUAAGUGCCCCGCCUGGGGAGUACGG
rnacentral:rRNA from 1 species